GUUUGCUCAAGCAACUCUCAAUGAGAUUCAGCGCUCUGGUGACACCAUUACUCUAAGCUCAUUGCCUAGUCAGGUUGGGUGGGUCUACCCUGCCUCCGAAAGUCAAAGCACAAAGGCGCCAGAAGAGAGAGCACCUCUCGAGACAGAUUACAUGUCUGCGGACAAGCGAAUAGGCUUGCACUUCACCUCUGCCUCAGAUGAGCCGGUUAUUAUCUUUUCGUGGUUUUUUUUUUUUUGUGCUCUCGCCGGUCAUGUAAUGCAUCCAGGACAAGAUGCUCGCCUGGCAGCCUGAGCAGGUGGACGACAAGGCAGCUUACACAUUUUCGCUAAUAGCAGGCAGUCAGGGAAACGUAUCUGAAAUGAAGAUGAUGGCACAAGCCUGCAGAGGAAGUCAAAGCAGCCUAGGCCUGAGCCAAAGUGUUUUAAAUGGAUUACACCAGUGUGUCAUUGCGAUUACACGCUCCUUGCAGGGACCGCGACAAGAUGAAUUGUAUUUUAUGGCUUUACAGCAGAUCUUUUUUCUUUCUUUUCUCCUCCAACUUGAAUGCGUGUUUUCCACUACUACGUAGUGUGGUCUGAAUGUGGGAUUGUUUUUGCCUUUGAACUACCUGACAAACAGUUCAUCAUCUUUUUUUUUCCUUGUGGGGACUUUUUCAGUGUAUCUUAGUGCUGAACCACUGAGUGGGAAUACAUAGAUACACACACACACACUCGAGUGAGGCUGAAGCACUAGAACUUGCCCUCAUUUUGCAUUUGAUGCAAAACAUACUGUGACCCUCAGAGAGCCUCCAAAAACACUGCAUGCUACAUACUAAUGCACAUGGCAGUUUUUUCUCUCUGCCUUUACUGUGGGCCCAAUCAUUUUUUACUCCCUGCUUAACCUGUCCCUGUCACACAUCGAGAAAUUAAAACAUCACCCAUCAAGCGUCAUGUUGUUUACACGCCCGUGCAUUUACAAGAACAAUUCGACUCAAAUACACUACCCACCACGUAUCGAACAAAUCAAUGUUAAAAUGUAACAGCAGUGCUCCCUCCAAUGCUAACUUCAUUACUGCAGAAAAUCAUCAGAUAUGGCUAAGUGUGCGAGCAAGCAGAGAGGAUUAUGAAACCUCCGGAGUCAGGGAGAGCGGGUGUGUAUGCGAGUGUGUGUUUGUGAGAGAGAGGUUAGGCCUCAAGG
ensembl:lncRNA